AGUCAUAACACCUGCUUUUAUGGUGCUUUUCGGACAGGAAAAGUACAUCGUAACCUUGGGAAAGAUUCUCAGAGAAAGUUAAUUGGAGUGGGGUCUGAUCUUAUCAUGGACGUUCAAUCUGUGUUAGUUAAUAGCAAAACUCAAGGCACACUCCAGAGCUCGCUGAAGCCUCUCCGGUGUUGAAUGGAAAUAGCCUGAAGUAAUUAGCCUACUAAGACCCACUCAUUAGGAGGCCUGUGGAGGUCUGCAGUGGUUUGAAUUGACUGGCUGGCUCCAGAUUCAAGGAGUCGGGCCGAAUGAUGCAGGUGUGUACACAUGCACAGCCAGGGAUGCCUUCGGAGAGGGGUCUGCCUCUGCCAGAUUACAGGUUACAUAUGGAGGUUCUCAGCUGAGCAAAGAUUUCCAGCAAAAAGAAAAUGGAGC